UACCACUGUCCUGGGUGCCU
rnacentral:miRNA from 1 species